UAACGGAGAGUUUGAUCCUGGCUCAGAACUAACGCUGGCGGCGCGUCUUAAACAUGCAAGUCGAACGGAAAGGCCCUUCGGGGUACUCGAGUGGCGAACGGGUGAGUAACACGUAGGUAAUCUACCCUCGAGUGGGGGAUAACCCUCCGAAAGGAGAGCUAAUACCGCAUAACACUACGGAGUCUACGGGCUCUGUAGUCAAAGCAGCAAUGCGCUUGUGGAUGAGCCUGCGUCCGAUUAGCUUGUUGG
rnacentral:rRNA from 1 species